GACAGCGGCAAGGUGGGACAGCUGUGUCACCUGUGUGUCACCUGUGUCACCCCUGUGUCACCCCAAACCCACCCUGUGUCACCCCUCUGUCACCUGUGUCACCCCAAACCCACCCCAUGUCACCCCCUGUGUCACCCUGCUGCUGCUGUGCCUGGGGCUGCAGCUGGGCGACCGCGUGCGGCUGGACAGCGGCAAGGUGGGACAGCUGUGUGUCACCUGUGUGUCACCUGUGUCACCUCCUGUGUCACCUGUGUGUCACCUGUGUCACCUGUGUCACCUGUGUGNNNNNNNNNNNNNNNNNNNNNNNNNNNNNNNNNNNNNNNNNNNNNNNNNNNNNNNNNNNNNNNNNNNNNNNNNNNNNNNNNNNNNNNNNNNNNNNNNNNNCCCCCCCCAUGUCACCCGUGUCACCCCAAACCCGCCCUGUGUCACCCCAAACCCGCCCUGUGUCACCUGUGUGUCACCCCUGUGUCACCCCAAACCUGCCAUGUGUCACCUGUGUCACCCCUGUGUCACCCCCUGUGUCACCUCCGUGUCACCCUCGUGUCACCCCUGUGUCACCCCCUGUGUCAUCCCUGUGUCACCCCAAACCCGCCCCAUGUCACCCUCCUGUGUCACCCCUGUGUCACCUCAAACCCGCCCUGUGUCACCUCCUGUGUCACCCUGCUGCUGCUGUGCCUGGGGGACCGCGUGCAGCUGGACAGCGGCAAGGUGUGUCACCUGUGUGUCACCUGUGUCACCUGUGUCACCUGUGUCACCUGUGUCACCCCAAAACCCGCCCUGUGUCACCCCAAACCCGCCCUGUGUCACCCUGCUGAUGCUGCUGUGCCUGGGGCUGCAGCUGGGCGACCGCGUGCGGCUGGACAGCGGCAAGGUGGGACAGCUGUGUCACCUGUGUGUCACCUGUGUCACCUGUGUGUCACCUGUGUGUCACCUGUGUCAUCUGUGUCACCUGUGUCACCUGUGUGUCACCCGUGUCACCCCAAACCCACCCUGUGUCACCCCAAACCCGCUCCGUGUCACCCCUGUGUCACCCCAAACGUGCCAUGUGUCACCUGUGUCACCCCCCCGUGUCACCCCUGUGUCACCCCAAACCCACCCCGUGUCACCCCAAACCCGCCCCGUGUCACCCCAAACCUGCCCCGUGUCACUCCUGUGUCACCCUGCUGCUGCUGUGCCUGGGGCUGCAGCUGGGCGACCGCGUGCAGCUGGACAGCGGCAGGGUGGGACAGCUGUGUGUCACCUGUGUCACCUGUGUCACCUGUGUGUCACCUGUGUCACCCCAAACCCGCCCCGUGUCACCCCCAACCCCCCCCCUGUCACACCUGUGUCAGCCAAACCCGCCCCGUGUCACCCCUGUGUCACCCCAAACCUGCCCUGCAUUACCUCUGUCACCUUCUGUGUCACCCCCCUGUGUCACCCCUGUCGUCACCCCAAAACCUGCCCUGUGUCACCCCAAACCCGCCCCGUGUCACCCCUGUGUCACCCCUGUGUCACCCCAAACAUGCCAUGUGUCACCUCUGUCACCCCCUGUGUCACCCCUGUGUCACCCCCUGUGUCACCCCUGUGUCACCCCAAACCCGCCCCGUGUCAGCCCAAACCUGCCCCGUAUUACCUGUGUCACCUCUUGUGUCACCUCCGUGUCACCUCCUGUGUCACCCCAAACCUGCCAUGUGUCACCUGUGUCACCCCUGUGUCACCCCUGUGUCACCCCUGUGUCACCUCUGUGUCACCCCAAACCCGCUCCGUGUNNNNNNNNNNGUGUCACCCCUGUGUCACCUCUGUGUCACCCCAAACCCGCUCCGUGUCACCCCUGUGUCACCUCUGUGUCACCCCAAACCCGCUCCGUGUCACCCCAAACCUGCCAUGUGUCACCCCUGUGCCACCUGUGUCACCUGUGUGUCACCUGUGUGUCACCUGUGUGUCACCUGUGUGUCACCUGUGUCACCUGUACCACCUGUGUCACCUGUGUCACGCCAAUGUCACCCCUGUGUCACUCCAGAGGUCCCAUUGUCACCCAGGGCCAGGCUGGUUUUGGGGUAUUUUGGUCAUUUUUGGGGUGUUUUUGGGUAUUUCGGGGCUGUUUUUGGGGCUCGGUGGCAGCCGGGUGUCCCCGUGCCAGGUGGGCACGCUGUGGUUCUGCGGCACUGCGGCCCACGCUGGGAUUUGGGGUUUGGGGUUUUUGCAGGAUUUGGGGUUUUUUGCAGGAUUUGGGGUUUUUUGCAGGAUUUGGGAUGUUUUUGGGUAUUUUGGGGCUGUUUUUGGGGCUCGGUGGCAGCCGGGUGUCCCCGUGCCAGGUGGGCACGCUGCG
rnacentral:lncRNA from 1 species